rnacentral:rRNA from 1 species
CCUACGGGUGGCAGCAGUGGGGAAUAUUGCACAAUGGGGGAAACCCUGAUGCAGCGACGCCGCGUGAGUGAAGAAGUAUUUCGGUAUGUAAAGCCCUAUCAGCAGGGAAGUAGCAAGACGGUACCUGCCUAAGAAGCCUCGGCUAAAUACGUACCAGCAGCCGCGCUAAUAAGUAGGGGGCAAGCGUUAUCCGGAUUUACUGGGUGUAAAGGGAGCGUAGACGGUAUGGCAAGUCUGAGGUGAAAGCCCAGGGCUUAACCCUGGGACUGCUUUGGAAACUGGUAGACUAGAGUGCUGGAGAGGCAAGUGGAAUUCCUAGUGUAGCGGUGAAAUGCGUAGAUAUUAGGAGGAACCCCAGUGGCGAAGGCGGCUUACUAGACAGUAACUGACGCUGAGGCUCGAAAGCGUGUGGAGCAAACAGGAUUAGAUACCCGUGUAGUC